GGCCUGGUGGUCUAGUAGUAUGAUUCCUUCUUAGGGUAUUCCGUCGUUUGGAGGAGGUCCCGGGUUCAAUUCCCGGCUAGGCCC